rnacentral:tRNA from 2 species
GCGGGAAUAGCUCAGUUGGUAGAGCACGACCUUGCCAAGGUCGGGGUCGCGAGUUCGAGUUUCGUUUCCCGCUCCA